CUACUCUUAUCCUGAAAUGCGUUAUUGCAUUGAUACAUGCUAUAAUUGAACCUGUGAACUGAUGUUUUAUUGGCUCGUUUGGGCUGUUAUUUUGUAAGACACAUGGUUUGCUUAAAGAUUAUGUUCGGAUUCAUAACCUUGAGCUAUGAUUGGGUUCAAAACUUCAUAUGAAAUUUAUAUUUCGUGCUCUGCGAGCAAUUUGGUCAUUUGUUAAUGGUAGGAAUUAUAAAAUUUUGUUUUCUGGAAUGAGUGGCUUGUCAAAAGAUUUUAUUGAAGAUGCUUAAAUAAAUGCAAGUAAGAUUAUCUGUUUCUCUGCGCUGCUUAAAUGGAAGUACGAGUCAUCUCAAUUUGUUGUUUCCAUGAAUCAAGUAUACCUGGCUUUAAAUAUCCAUGGGGGGAAUUAAUACAAAGCUGGAGGCUGUCUGGGUCAAUGUUACCGAUUAGUCUUACAGUUCCUGCAGUGGCAAUUAAUGCUUCAAAUGACAGGUUAACCAAGAAGAGGCACCUCUAUAGUCGUAUCAUUUUCUUAAUUCAUAGUAUUUUUCAGACUUCAUUGCUGCUGUUUUUGUCAUGGAGCUUAGUAUUUGAGAUCUCUUGAUUGUUUCCAUUUCUCAACCUGAUCACACCAUUAGCUAACUGGGCCUUACCAGGUCAAGCUCGGAGGACGAGACCAGACUAGAGAAAUUGACCAGCACAGAGCCCAUGAAGGGCCCACAAUGCUUGUAAGAUUCCGUGCCAACAUGUACAUUUUCACAUCUUUUGUGGAGGACACCGGGCCAGAUCAAAGAGAUACCAGAGAAACAUCUACCUCUUAUAAUGAAGCAAAGGACGACAACUAUUCUUGGGGUGUGCAGUUAAUUAGGAGAAAAACCUGUGUUUGGAUGUCAUCUUUGAAUCCUAUCCAUCGUAUUUAGACUGUUCACUCCUUUUUUCUGUUUUGGCCGUUGGCUAUGUCUAACUUUUGUUUUCUCUUUCGCAUGUUCUUCUGUAUAAUUCAAAUAUGAAUACUUCGAAAUGGAUGCUUGUUCUGUGUUUACUGCUUAAGCAACUUCAUAGCUCAAGCAUUUUACGUGAACAUUCAAGUGAGCUUUGCACCAUCACUAAAUGACCGAAAUCUUCCUAUAUUUAUUAUUCCUUUCCUUGAAUGGAGUUCAGUCGAGG